AGAGUUUGAUCCUGGCUCAGGACGAACGCUGGCGGCGUGCCUAACACAUGCAAGUCGCACGAACUUCUGAGAGCUUGCUCUUUGAAGUUAGUGGCGGACGGGUGCGUAACACGUGAGCAACCUGCCCUUCGGUGGGGGAUAGCCGGCCUAACGGCCGGGUAAUACCGCGUAUUGUGUCGCGAUCACCUGGUUGCGAUAUGAAAGUCUUCGGGCGCCGGAGGAGGGGCUCGCGUCGUAUCAGCUUGUUGGUGAGGUAACGGCUCACCAAGGUGACGACGCGUAGCUGGUCUGAGAGGAUGAUCAGCCACAUUGGGACUGAGAUACGGCCCAGACUCCUACGGGAGGCAGCAGUGGGGAAUAUUGCGCAAUGGCCGCAAGGCUGACGCAGCGACGCCGCGUGUGGGAUGACGGCCUUCGGGUUGUAAACCACUGUCAGGGGGGACGAAUACCCGGUUCGACCGGGGGUGACGGUACCUCCAGAGGAAGCACCGGCUAACUCCGUGCCAGCAGCCGCGGUAAUACGGAGGGUGCAAGCGUUGUCCGGAAUCACUGGGCGUAAAGCGCGCGUAGGCGGCUUGGUAAGUCAGGUGUGAAAUCCCGGGGCUCAACUCCGGGGCUGCACCUGAGACUGCUUCGCUAGAGCUCGGUA
rnacentral:rRNA from 1 species